UACGAGUGCCCAAGCGUUAUCCGGAAUUAUUGGGCGUAAAGGGUGUGUAGGUGGUUUGUUAGUCUUCUGUUAAGCUCCCGGCUUAACCGGGAAGUGCAGAGGAACGGCAAGACUAGAGGAUGUGAGGGUCUAUGGAACUCAUGGUGUAGGGGUGAAAUCCGUUGAUAUCAUGGGAACACCAAAAGCGAAGGCAAUAGACUGGCGCAUUCCUGACACUGAACACGAAGCGUGGUAGCGAAUGGG
rnacentral:rRNA from 1 species